rnacentral:rRNA from 1 species
AACGAACGCUGGCGGCAUGCCUAACACAUGNAAGUCGAACGAGACCUUCGGGUCUAGUGGCGCACGGGUGCGUAACGCGUGGGAAUCUGCCCUCUGGUACGGAAUAACUCAGGGAGACUUGAGCUAAUACCGUAUAAUGACUUCGGUCCAAAGAUUUAUCGCCUGAGGAUGAGCCCGCGUCGGAUUAGCUAGUUGGUGAGGUAAAGGCUCACCAAGGCGACGAUCCGUAGCUGGUCUGAGAGGAUGAUCAGCCACACUGGGACUGAGACACGGCCCAGACUCCUACGGGAGGCAGCAGUGGGGAAUAUUGGACAAUGGGCGAAAGCCUGAUCCAGCAAUGCCGCGUGAGUGAUGAAGGCCUUAGGGUUGUAAAGCUCUUUUACCCGGGAUGAUAAUGACAGUACCGGGAGAACAAGCCCCGGCUAACUCCGUGC